AUACGGAGGAUGCAAGCGUUAUCCGGAUUUAUUGGGUUUAAAGGGUGCGUAGGCGGGACUGUAAGUCAGGGGUGAAAUACUGCAGCUUAACUGUAGCAUUGCCUUUGAAACUGUGGUUCUUGAGUACAGUUGAGGUAGGCGGAAUGUGGUGUGUAGCGGUGAAAUGCAUAGAUAUACCACAGAACGCCGAUUGCGAAGGCAGCUUACUAAGCUGUUACUGACGCUGAGGCACGAAAGCGUGGGGAUCAAACAGGAUUAGAUACCCUGGUAGUCCACGCUGUAAACGAUGAUUACUGGUUGUUAGCGAUAUAUAGCUAGUGACUGAGCGAAAGCAUUAAGUAAUCCACCUGGGGAGUACGUCGGCAACGAUGAA
rnacentral:rRNA from 1 species